rnacentral:rRNA from 1 species
UCUGGUUGAUCCUGCCAGUAGUCAUAUGCUUGUCUCAAAGAUUAAGCCAUGCAUGUCUAAGUACAAACCUUAAUACGGUGAAACCGCGAAUGGCUCAUUAAAUCAGCUAUGGUUCCUUAGAUCGUCUCAUCCUACUCGGAUAACUGUGGAAAAUCUAGAGCUAAUACGUGCUUACAAGCCCUGACCUCACGGGAGGGGCGCAUUUAUUAGAUCAAAACCAAUCGGGGCUUGCCCCGUCUGCUUGGUGACUCUGGAUAACUUUUGUGCUGAUCGCAUGGCCUCUGCGCUGGCGACGUAUCUUUCAAGUGUCUGCCCUAUCAACUUACGAUGGUAGGUGAUAUGCCUACCAUGGUUAUAACGGGUAACGGGGAAUCAGGGUUCGAUUCCGGAGAGGGAGCCUGAGAAACGGCUACCACAUCUAAGGAAGGCAGCAGGCGCGCAAAUUACCCACUCCCGGCACGGGGAGGUAGUGACGAAAAAUAACGAUACGGGACUCUUUUGAGGCCCCGUAAUUGGAAUGAGUACACUUUAAAUCCGUUAACAAGUAUCUAUUGGAGGGCAAGUCUGGUGCCAGCAGCCGCGGUAAUUCCAGCUCCAAUAGCGUAUAUUAAUGUUGCUGCAGUUAAAAAGCUCGUAGUUGGAUCUGAGGACUCGAAUUGGUGGUGCACCAUACGGUGUUACUGCCGAUUCGGCCUACCUAGUCGGUGCUCGCUCUUGGUGUUCUUAAUUGAAUGCCCUGAGUGCCCGGCAAGUUUACUUUGAAAAAAUUAGAGUGCUCAAAGCAGGCCAUUAGCCGGAAUACUUCAGCAUGGAAUAAUGGAAUAGGACUUCGGUUCUAUUUUGUUGGUUUUCGGAACCCGAGGUAAUGAUUAAGAGAGACAGACGGGGGCAUUCGUACUGCGGUGUUAGAGGUGAAAUUCUUGGAUCGCCGCAAGACGAACAACUGCGAAAGCAUUUGCCAAGAAUGUUUUCAUUAAUCAAGAACGAAAGUCAGAGGUUCGAAGACGAUCAGAUACCGUCCUAGUUCUGACCAUAAACGAUGCCAACUGGCGAUCCGAGAUCGUUUGCUUAUUGACCUCUCGGGCAGCCUCCGGGAAACCAAAGUUUUUAGGUUCCGGGGGAAGUAUGGUUGCAAAGCUGGAACUGUUCAAUUGCAACUCUGCCUGUGACACCAAGUGGUCGGGUUACUUGGUCUGUUCUGGCCCGGAGUCGGUAGGGUUUCCGGCCUUGUGCUCUUUCCUUACUGUUCUCUGUAACGCCGAAGGCGGGGCUUCCACGGUGGGGAAGCGGUUGUACAAAUCCGGCAAAUCCAGCCAAAUGGGUUCCGGACUCUGUCCAACCUGCAACUGGUAACAGCCUCGGCUGGCUAACAUUUGAGCUGGGACUCGCUUGGGAGGAGCGAGGAUAAUAUAAACCUCUAUGUGACUGAGGUGAGGAAUCUGGUUCUCGUAAAAUGGCUGGAGAUCCCGAGCCUGUAAGUCAUAAAUUAGUUCCCCACGAGGGGAGGUGUCGAAUUGAAGCCAGUGCGUGCCCUUACUAGUUUAAGGGAUUGUAUACUUCCUUUGGUGUACCCACCUGGAAGUGCCCAAGGGUCCUAU